UUAGAGUUUGAUCCUGGCUCAGGACCAAUGCUGGCGGCGCGCCUAACACAUGCAAGUCGAACGAGCGAGAGAGAGCUUGCUUUCUCGAGCGAGUGGCGAACGGGUGAGUAACGCGUGAGGAACCUGCCUCAAAGAGGGAGACAACAGUUGGAAACGACUGCUAAUACCGCAUAAGCCCACGGGUCGGCAUCGACCAGAGGGAAAAGGAGCAAUCCGCUUUGAGAUGGCCUCGCGUCCGAUUAGCUAGUUGGUGAGGUAAUGGCCCACCAAGGCGACGAUCGGUAGCCGGACUGAGAGGUUGAACGGCCACAUUGGGACUGAGACACGGCCCAGACUCCUACGGGAGGCAGCAGUGGGGAAUAUUGCACAAUGGGGGAAACCCUGAUGCAGCGACGCCGCGUGGAGGAAGAAGGUCUUCGGAUUGUAAACUCCUGUUGUUGGGGAAGAUAAUGACGGUACCCAACAAGGAAGUGACGGCUAACUACGUGCCAGCAGCCGCGGUAAAACGUAGGUCACAAGCGUUGUCCGAAAUUACUGGGUGUAAAGGGAGCGCAGGCGGGAAGACAAGUUGGAAGUGAAAUCUAUGGGCUCAACCCAUAAACUGCUUUCAAAACUGUUUUUCUUGAGUAGUGCAGAGGUAGGCGGAAUUCCCGGUGUAGCGGUGGAAUGCGUAGAUAUCGGGAGGAACACCAGUGGCGAAGGCGGCCUACUGGGCACCAACUGACGCUGAGGCUCGAAAGUGUGGGUAGCAAACAGGAUUAGAUACCCUGGUAGUCCACACCGUAAACGAUGAUUACUAGGUGUUGGAGGAUUGACCCCUUCAGUGCCGCAGUUAACACAAUAAGUAAUCCACCUGGGGAGUACGACCGCAAGGUUGAAACUCAAAGGAAUUGACGGGGGCCCGCACAAGCAGUGGAGUAUGUGGUUUAAUUCGACGCAACGCGAAGAACCUUACCAAGUCUUGACAUCCCUUGACAGGCAUAGAAAUAUGUAAUCUCUUCGGAGCAAGGAGACAGGUGGUGCAUGGUUGUCGUCAGCUCGUGUCGUGAGAUGUUGGGUUAAGUCCCGCAACGAGCGCAACCCUUAUGGUCAGUUACUACGCAAGAGGACUCUGGCCAGACUGCCGUUGACAAAACGGAGGAAGGUGGGGAUGACGUCAAAUUAUCAUGCCCUUUAUGACUUGGGCUACACACGUACUACAAUGGCGUUAAACAAAGAGAAGCAAGACCGUGAGGUGGAGCAAAACUCAGAAACAACGUCCCAGUUCGGACUGCAGGCUGCAACUCGCCUGCACGAAGUCGGAAUUGCUAGUAAUCGUGGAUCAGCAUGCCACGGUGAAUACGUUCCCGGGCCUUGUACUCACCGCCCGUCA
rnacentral:rRNA from 1 species